rnacentral:rRNA from 1 species
CGGAGGGGGCUAGCGUUGUUCGGAAUUACUGGGCGUAAAAGCGCACGUAGGCGGACCAGAAAAGUUGGGGGUGAAAUCCCGGGGCUCAACCUCGGAACUGCCUUCAAAAACUAUUGGGUCUGGAGUUCGAGAGAGGUGAGUGGAAUUCCGAGUGUAGAGGUGAAAUUCGUAGAUAUUCGGAGGAACACCAGUGGCGAAGGCGGCUCACUGGCUCGAUACUGACGCUGAGGUGCGAAAGCGUGGGGAGCAAACAGGAUU